rnacentral:rRNA from 1 species
AGUGAACGCUGGCGGUAGGCCUAACACAUGCAAGUCGAACGGCAGCACAGUAAGAGCUUGCUCUUACGGGUGGCGAGUGGCGGACGGGUGAGGAAUACAUCGGAAUCUACUUUUUCGUGGGGGAUAACGUAGGGAAACUUACGCUAAUACCGCAUACGACCUACGGGUGAAAGCAGGGGAUCUUCGGACCUUGCGCGAUUGAAUGAGCCGAUGUCGGAUUAGCUAGUUGGCGGGGUAAAGGCCCACCAAGGCGACGAUCCGUAGCUGGUCUGAGAGGAUGAUCAGCCACACUGGAACUAAGACACGGUCCGACUCCUACGGGAGGCAGCAGUGGGGAAUAUUGGACAAUGGGCGCAAGCCUGAUCCAGCCAUACCGCGUGGGUGAAGAAGGCCUUCGGGUUGUAAAGCCCUUUUGUUGGGAAAGAAAAGCAGCAGGUUAAUACCCCGCUGUUCUGACGGUACCCAAAGAAUAAGCACCGGCUAACUUCGUG